rnacentral:rRNA from 1 species
AGAGUUUGAUCAUGGCUCAGGAUCAACGCUGGCGGCGUGCCUAAUGCAUGCAAGUCGAACGGGGUGCUUUCGGGCGCUUACGUGGCGGACGGGUGAGGAACACGUGGGCAAUCUGUCCUGAGGUGGGGGGUAGCCCUCGGAAACGGGGGGUAAUUCCGCAUGGUCACCACUGGUGGUGGGCUGGUGGUGGAAAGGGUCUUCGGACUCGCCUUGGGGGGAGCCUGCGGCCGAUUAGCUAGUUGGGGGGGUAACGGCUUCCCAAGGCGGUGAUCGGUAGCUGGUCUGAGAGGACGGCCAGCCACACGGGGACUGAGACACGGCCCCGACUCCUACGGGAGGCAGCAGCAAGGAAUUUUCCGCAAUGGGCGAAAGCCUGACGGAGCAACGCCGCGUGCGGGAUGACGCGUUUCGGCGUGUAAACCGCUUUUCUUGGGGAGGAUGGAGGACAGUACCCGAGGAAGAAGGCCCGGCUAACUACGUGCCAGCAGCCGCGGUAAUACGUAGGGGCCGAGCGUUGUCCGGAGUUAUUGGGCGUAAAGCGCGCGCAGGCGGCUUCGCGCGCCCGACGUGAAAGCCCCCGGCUUAACCGGGGAGAGUCGUUGGGGACGGCGGGGCUUGAGGGCGGGAGAGGACGGUGGAAUUCCCGGUGUAGUGGUGAAAUGCGUAGAGAUCGGGAGGAACACCUGUGGC